rnacentral:ncRNA from 1 species
AGGAACCGUGCGAGAUGAAAGUCUCAUGCACGGUUUUGCAUGAGAGAAAGAAGCGAGGAAUACUCUUUUUGAUUCUGAC